ACCGAAUGGCUCGGUGAGGCCUUCGGACUGGCGCAGGGAGGUCGGCAACGACCACCCAGGGCCGGAAAGUUGGUCAAACCAGGUCAUUUAGAGGAAGUAAAAGUCGUAACAAGGUCUCCGUAGGUGAACCUGCGGAGGGAUCAUUACAAGUGACCCCGGCCUACGGCCGGGAUGUUCAUAACCCUUUGUUGUCCGACUCUGUUGCCUCCGGGGCGACCCUGCCUUCGGGCGGGGGCUCCGUUGUGGACACUUCAAACUCUUGCGUAACUUUGCAGUCUGAGUAAACUUAAUUAAUAAAUUAAAACUUUUAACAACGGAUCUCCCGUGGUUCUGGCAUCGAUGAAGAACGCAGCGAAAUGCGAUAAGUAAUGUGAAUUGCAGAAUUCAGUGAAUCAUCGAAUCUUGAACGCACAUUGCGCCCCCUGGUAUUCCGGGGGGCAUGCCUGUUCGAGCGUCAUUUCACCACUCAAGCCUCGCUUGGUUUGGGCAACGCGGUCCGCCGCGUGCCUCAAAUCGUCCGGCUGGGUCUUCUGUCCCCUAAGCGUUGUGGAAACUAUUCGCUAAGGGUGUUCGGGAGGCUACGCCGUAAAACAACCCCAUUUCUAAGGUUGACCUCGGAUCAGGUAGGGAUACCCGCUGACUUAAGCAUAU
rnacentral:rRNA from 1 species